AAAAAAACAGAAGAAAAAAUCAAGACCAGCUGAUGAAGGGAAGGAAGGGGUAAUUUUUCUCGGAAAACACGAAAUGAAACCCAACGAGAGAUUGAGAUAGCACCGAUGGUCGUCAUCGUGGGAAAGAAGUUUGCAAAGAAAGCGCACCCCGUCAGGCCUCAAGUUCCCUCAACCCUUCCUUUCAUCCGGUUCCGCAAGUUCCAUUCAGGGUCUCUUCAAAAUCUUGAGUAGAUUCUGUUUCUUAAACACCCUUCUCCAUAUGGUUCUGGAUUUCUUUUCAUUUACCGAAAUAACUUUUUUUUUAAAUGUAUGAGAUUGAUAAUUAGACCAUUUUUUUGUACUGGCUCGUAAUUUGUUAUGUCUGAAGCUGGUAUUUCUAGGAUUGUGAAGCCUUCUAUGAACUGGAUAUUUGAUAAAUUGACGUUAAGAGUUUAUUAGUUUCUUA